CUCUAGCAGACAGCACUGAAUGAGAUUCUUGGGACAGUUACUGAAAACUGGCAACAGGAUUGAUUCUGCCGCUUCCUAGGCUGUGGUAACCACGUGACUCACUGCCUCACGCGUCCACACAGAGAAACCACCCCUGCUUAGCGCACCCUCAGCGCAGCCCUACGGCAGAAGUCACCAGUACCCACCUCUCUGGCCAGCCCAGUGAUGCCCCUCAGCGGUGAGACUUCAGCAAAGGUCCCCCAGGAAUGGGCUGGACUGUUGGCAAACCCCCUCAGGAACGGCUCUUCGGUGGUGGUCCCUCAGCAGCAACCUCUCAAGAAUGGUCCCUGGCGGCCGCCCCUUAGCAACAGCUCCUCACAAAUGACCCCUAGAAAGUGGUCCAGUAACUAGGUCGCCUCCCAGUAACAGAUCCUCAGCAACGGUUCCUCAGUACUGGCCCCGCAGGAUCAGCUCCUUAAGCCCCUUGACGAUGGCCUCUUAACGGCCCGACUGCCCCCCAGCCACCGUGGGUCUGAGGCUGCGUAGUUUGGGCGCGUAGCUCCAUGGCAACGGAAGGCUGCUUUGGGGUAGUGGGCGGGGCUGUGGCUGCAGAGGGAGAGCCUGCGCGCAGGCGUAGUGCAGCAGCGGGGGUGGAGUGGGGAGAGCGUCGCGGAGGGAAGAGCCUGACAUUGACUGUUGCCCAGAUGAUUCUCCUGGAGACUGGAGCAGGUGCUCGAUUACUUGUCUAAAGCCAGUUGAAACUUGGGUCAACUGCUUGGGUCAACUUAAAAGACCAUUUACGCAAAAGUUGGAAUCUCCUGCGUCUCUUGGAUCUGCAGUCUGGCUCUCCCAGGUCCUGUGCAGCCUGUGUUGUGCCCUCUAGAUGGUGACAUCUGACUCCUCUGUAUAACCCACAGGACUCUUUGGAUUGUGUUUGGUCGUUUAAGUUGGUGGUGUCACUAGUCCGGGCAGGAGGUGGGCUCAACAGUGAACAGGACAUGUUCCCUUUCCUCAGGGUCACAGGGAUGACUGGCAACUCCUGUAGUUUUGUCUUGGAGAUGGAGAGCUUUCAGCGUUAAGAAGUCCUCAAAAUAAUACAGAGGCUGUGGAAAUGUCAGUGGAGACCGGGGGUGGGGGGGUACCUCUGUACUCCCUUCAGAUACUUUGCCUCUCAGAAUUGUAAGCCUGUGAAAUACCACUGCAAUACUGUAUAGGCACAGGUGUCCUAUAAGUUUAGAGCAUUGUGUAUGGAAGCCUGAUGUCCUGUAGUAAAACAGUCUGGGAAAGACAGCCAGUUGGUAUGUAACCUUUAGCUGAGGGAGAAUGUGAACUGGGCCUCCUUACUCUGAGUUGUCCCUGGUAAAUGGCUGAGCAGAGAGGGUUGUAAGACAACCAUAUCCAAUGCUAAUAUUUGUGGUAUGAAGUAUAAUCCCCACUACAGUAAAACAAGUGAAUAAAUUGGUCUUCUCUUUCA
ensembl:processed_transcript